rnacentral:rRNA from 1 species
GACAGAGGUGCCGAGCGUUAGGCGGAAUCACUGGGCUUAAAGCGUGUGUAGGCGGGCGGGCAAGUACCUUGUGAAAUCCCACGGCUCAACCGUGGAACGGCUGGGUAUACUGCCUGUCUUGAGCCAACUAGGGGCGAGCGGAACAGACGGUGGAGCGGUGAAAUGCGUAGAUAUCGUCUGGAACGCCGAAGGUGAAAACAGUCUGCUGGGGGCGUGCCGACGCUGAGACACGAAAGCCAGGGGAGCGAACGGG